UUUCACUAUCAUCUUUUUUGUAAAACUCUCUCAAGUUUUCUCUCCAUCUUCAACCUUAAGAACACUAAGGAGACUUGGAAGCUAAGCCUUGUUCUAUGAAGAGUUUUCUCUAAGGUUAGGUUUUUUAAAAGGUUUUGAAGGAGCCAAAGCUAUUAGGAAGAUCCACACCUUAAGCAAGAACACCAAACAGGUAAGAGCAAGGGCAAGGCAGAGCAGUGAGCGCUGGAGUCUACCUUGCAAAUGUACAUGAGGACCGACCUUUUGGGAAGUCGUUUUAUUUUUGGAAAUGUUGUGUAAUUUUCCUAAACUAGGCUCACUCUACUCCUUAUAAAAUAUAUUUGUAAUUAAAUGUUAAGUAUGGCCAUAUGACUUUUUAAAAAGGUUUUUUUAUAUGGGUUUUUGAGACAUUUUGUUAAAUGAAAACAUUUAUAUUUCUGCAUUAUUGAGUGUUGAAAAUCUAGGUCCUUACAGUUGGUAUCAGAGCUUGAGUUGAGCCGAUUUUUUAGAUAACCCAAAUGUACAUUUCGCAAAGAUAGACUGACACUCGCUGUAAGUACUGUCUCUUCCUUUAGUGUGUAGUUUCCAUUUUCUUACUUAAAUUUUAUAAAUUGUAGGUUAGUAAGAAAAUGGCUGGCGAACAAGAGGCGAUGGAUCCCAUUGUAAUUGACCCCCUUAUGGUGUAUGACCAGUGGCAGAGAAUCCAAAUCUAUCGUGCCUUCACCUGCAUAGCGCCUGCUGUGUUCAAUAGAGAGGUCCAUUCCAACAAAGUCUAGGCAUGGACUUACUCGUUGGACACCAUUUUUGAGAACAUCGGUACCCCCCAUAGGUUCAGGGUAGGAUUGGCAAGUUUAUACCUGAGAGGCUUAGCUUUUCUGUGGUACUAGGAGAGGCACAUGAGGCCAGCCUCCCCAUACUGCAAUACCUUUAGGAUAUCCAUAGAGAUGACCUUUGGACCUCGAGGUAGGAUGUCAAGGUGGCAUAUAGACUUCCACAAGCUCUUUGCUGUGAAAAACGCCCAUGCAUAUGCGAUAGAGGCAGCACAAUGACAAGCGGCAGUAAAUCCAGUGGUAGUUGAGAACCUGCCACCAGAGGAAGUGGCUAAUGACGAGCUCGGCGACGAGGAAAUUUCUUAUGAAGAGCUAAUGGACCAGAAUGAGGAAGAUCUCGAGGAGGAUCCUGAGGAAGAUCCAGAAGAGGACCCUAAGGAAGAUCCUGAGGAAGAUUUCAAGGAGGAUCCUAAGGAAGAUCUCGAGGAACCGAGGAAGAUCCAGAGGAGGAUCCUGAGGAGGAUCUUGGGGAAGGUUUUGAUAUGGCUGUUGACAGUGACACCGACUAGGUGUUAGGAGCUACAUAGGUGUUAGAAACCCACCUACUUUUCAAAUAUGUACCUACCUUGUAUAUGAUUAAGGAAAUUAAUAACUGGUCUAGUAGGGAUAUAAGUCUGUUUCUUUUUCAGGGCUAAUUUUGUAAAUCCCUUAGACUGUCCGACCCAAACUUAAAAAGUU